rnacentral:rRNA from 1 species
CGGGUGAGUAACGCGUGAGGAACCUGCCUCAAAGAGGGGGACAACAGUUGGAAACGACUGCUAAUACCGCAUAAGCCCACGGCUCGGCAUCGAGCAGAGGGAAAAGGAGUGAUCCGCUUUGAGAUGGCCUCGCGUCCGAUUAGCUGGUUGGUGAGGUAACGGCCCACCAAGGCGACGAUCGGUAGCCGGACUGAGAGGUUGAACGGCCGCAUUGGGACUGAGACACGGCCCAG